rnacentral:rRNA from 1 species
UACGGGGGGGCAAGCGUUGUUCGGAAUUACUGGCGUAAAGGGCUCGUAGGCGGCCAACUAAGUCGGAUGUGAAAUCCCCAGGCUCAACCUGGGAACUGCAUCCGAUACUGGAUGGCUUGAAUUCGGGAGAGGAUGCAGAAUUCCAGGUGUAGCGGUGAAAUGCGUAGAUAUCUGGAGGAAUACCGGUGGCGAAGGCGGCAUCCUGGACCGACAUUGACGCUGAUGAGC